rnacentral:rRNA from 1 species
UACGUAGGGUCCAAGCGUUAUCCGGAUUUACUGGGUGUAAAGGGCGAGUAGACGGUUAGGCAAGUCAGAUGUGAAAACUCAGGGCUCAACUUUGAGACUGCAUCUGAAACUGUUUAACUAGAGUGCAGAAGAGGUAAGUGGAAUUCCUAGUGUAGCGGUGAAAUGCGUAGAUAUUAGGAGGAACACCAGUGGCGAAGGCGACUUACUGGGCUGUAACUGACGUUGAGGCGCGAAAGUGUGGGGAGCAAACAGG